GCCAGCAUGGUGUAGUGGUUUGAGCAUCGGACUUUUACCCUGGAGACCAGAGUUCGAAUCCCUGCUCAGCCA